ensembl:lncRNA
GUCCUUAGAUCUGAAGUGGGUCUCUUGUAAACAGCAUAUGUAUGGGUCUUGUUUUUGUUUCCAUUCAGCCAGUCUGUGCCUUUUAGUUGGAGCAUUUAAUCCAUUUCUAUUCAAUGUAGUUAUGGAUAAGUGUGUACUUAUCGUCAUUUUCUUAAUUUUUUAGGAUUGCUAUUUUGGGUCUUUUUUUUCCCUUCCUCUUUUAUUGUCUUCUCUUGUGAUUUGCUGGCCAUCUUUAGUAUUACUUUUGGCUUGCUUUUUCUUUUUUAUGUGUGCACCCAUUAUAAUUUUUUGAUUUGUGGUUCCCAUUAUAUUUUGAUAUAAUCAUCUAUAUGCAUGCAGAAUUGUUUCUGGUUGCUGCUUUUUUAAUUUCAAGUGCAUUUUCAAUGUUUUGUAUUUGCCCUCUCCUCUUCCCAUGCUUUUUAGUUUUGAUAUCAUGUUUGUCAAAAGUAGAGUGGUUUUCUACUUUUAUAUUAUCUUUGCCUUUACCAGUGACCUUUUUCAUUUGUAAUAUUCUUGUUUCUAAUUGUGGCUUUCCCUUUCCUGCUUAGAGAACUUCCUUUAGUAGUUGAUGUGGAGUUGGUUUGAAGGUGCUGAAUUCUCUUUAGUAGUUGAUGUGGAGUUGGUUUGAAGGUGCUGAAUUCUCUUUCCUUUGCCUGUCUGAAAAGCUUUUGAUCUCUCCAUCAAAUCUGAAUGAGAGCUUUGCUGGGUAGAGUAUUCUUGGGUCUAGGUUCCUCCUCUUCGUCAUCUCAAAUAUAUCUUGCCACUCCUUUGGGCUUGUAGAGUUUCUGCUGAGAAAUCAACUGUUAUCUUUAUGGGGGUUGCCUUGUAUAUGCUUAGCUUUUAAUAUUUUUCCUUGUGUUUAAUUUUUGUCAGUUCAAUUAGUAUGUGUCUUGCUGUGUUUCUCCUUGGAUUUAUCUUGUAAGGGAUUCUCUGUGCUUCCUCGACUUGAGUGAGUGUUUCCUUUACCAUAUUAGGGGACAUUUUCAGCUAUAAUCUCUUCAAACGUUUUCUCUGGCCCUUUCUCUUCUCCUUCUGGAACCCCUAUGUUGGUACGUUUAAUGUUGUCCUAAAGGUCUCUUAGACUCUCCUCAGUUCUUUUCAUUCCCUUUUCUUUGUACUUUUCUGUGGCAGUGAUUUCCACCACUCUGUCUUCCACCUCACUUAUUCAUUUCUCUGCCUCCAUUAUUCUGCUAUUGGGUUCCUUCUAGAUUCCUUCUACAGUAUUUUUCAUUUCAGAUAUUGUGCUAUUCAUCUCGCUCUUUAAAUCCUCUAGUUCUUUGCUAAACAUUUCUUUUAAGUUCUCUAUAUGUAUCUCCAUUCUUUUCCCCAAGAUCUUGGAUUAUCUUUACUAUCAUCACUCUGAAUUUUUUUUCAGGUAGGUUGCCUAUCUCUUCAUCAUUUAGCAGGUUUUGUGUAUUUUUGUCUUGUUCCUUUGUCUGAAAAUUACUUCUUUGUCAUCUCAAACUAUUUCCUGUAGUUUGCAAUUCCUUCCCCCCACCUGGCUGCUGGGAGAAGUGUUCUCUGUAGCUGCUGUGGAUUGGAAUGUGGACCAAUGGGCCUCCCAUGGCUUCCUUGGCAUGGGCCAAAUGCCACUGGUGUGCGCCCUCGCAGGACCACUGGCAGGGGCCCUGAAGCUUUUGCUUUUUUCCAGCUGGGUAGCCUGUAGCUCCGGCAGGGAGCGUGCCCUGGCAGUCCUCUCUUGGCUCUUUUAGUGCAGAUUGGGUGCUGCUAGCAUGAGGCCCUACAGGGCCACUGGGCAGAACCAUGGAUCUUGUGGCUUUUCCUAGUCGGGCAGUUUGCAGCUCCUACAAGGAACGGGCGCUGGUGGCUCUUCUGGUGCAGAAUGGGCACUGCUAGUGCCAGGGCCACUGGCAGGAGCUGGGAGCAUGUGUUAUUUCCCCAGGCCUUUACUGCCUGCUCCGAGUUUUCUGUAGCCCCAAGGGCAGGGCUACUUCCCAGCUGUUGCUAGGCAGCUGCUGCUGCCCAAUGGCUCUUAGAACUGAGCCCGCAUGUGUGCAGGGGACAAGCCUGUAUUGGUGGAUCCCACCCCUUCCUUCCAGCACCCCCAAACAAUGGCUCCCAGCCUCUAAGCCUCCACUUAUGCCCUCAAAUGUAGUCACCUCUACUCUAGUCCCUCUAGGCUGUUUCCUUGCAGCCAACCCCGGUUUUUUCCCCACAUACCCAUCCCCAGCUCCCUCUUUGGGUAUGAUCUCUAAGGCCAGAGUUUUAGUUCUUGACACCUGCUGGCACCCACAUCCAGUUGCCCGUAGCACUGACUGUGGAGGAUUGUUUCUAUUUUAACUGCUUCACACAGAUUGUCUAGAGUUCCUCCUCCAUCUUGGCUGAUCUCCUCACUGGUGGGGGACCUUCCCAGGUGCAGAAGCUUUCCACCUCCCUUCUAGCAGCUCUUUCCUCCCUCCUCCUCUUAACAGUGCUUUUUUUCACUUCUUUUUCUUCUUUCUUUUGUCCUAUUUGGUUUUGUGAAGUUUUUCUUGCUCAAUCAUAAUCCUGAGGUCUUUGGUCAGUUUUUAGAAAAUAUUCUGUGCAAAUAUUUCCACAUGGAGAUAUAUUAUCAUUGUAUUUGUGGGAGUAGGUGAGCCUCACAUCUUACUACUCUGCUAUCUUCCGGCAAGGUCCUGAAAGUGUGUGCUUUUAAUUCAGUCUCUCAGGACCUGGAUAAUGAGUGGCUACCAUUGGCUAAUGCCACUAGGGAUCUAACAGUACACGAAUCCUUUCCAGGUAAGAGUGACUCAAUGCUGUCACUGUUAUUGAACAUUUAUCACAAGUGUACUUCUUCCUGUUUUAUACAUAUCCUGGUUUCUCUUCCAUCACACUUUCUCUGGCAGCUUCAUGUGAAAAUAAACUUAGGAAGGUACCUCUUUCUUUCCUUAGGAAGAUUCCUCACUGUUCAUUGGAUGCUGGACUCAUUGUUGGGUUCCAAUUUUUUUACGUGUUUUUUCCUUUGGGUUCCUCCCUUUCAGAAAGUACCCCUAGUCCCCCCACCUGAGGCUGCCAUGUAAAAUGCAGGACAGCAGUUGAAUUUGAACUUUAGGAGUUCCCAUUGUGGUUUAGUGGGUUAAGAACCUGACACAGUGUCCAUGAGAGUGUGGACUCAAUCCCUGGCCUUGCUCAGUGGGUUAAGUAUCUGGCAUUGCUUCAAGCUACAGUGUAGGUCACAGACAUGGCUCGGAUCUGUAGGCUGGCAUUUGCAGCUCUGAUUCAACCUUCUAGCCUGGGAACUUGCAUAU